rnacentral:rRNA from 1 species
UACGUAGGGCGCAAGCGUUGUCCGGAAUUAUUGGGCGUAAAGAGCUCGUAGGCGGCUUGUCACGUCGGAUGUGAAAGCCCGAGGCUUAACCUCGGGUCUGCAUUCGAUACGGGCUAGCUAGAGUGUGGUAGGGGAGAUCGAAUUCCUGGUGUAGCGGUGAAAUGCGCAGAUAUCAGGAGGAACACCGGUGGCGAAGGCGGAUCUCUGGGCCAUUACUGACGCUGAGGUGCGAAAGCGUGGGGAGCAAACAGG